UACGAAGGGUGCAAGCGUUACUCGGAAUUACUGGGCGUAAAGCGUGCGUAGGUGGUUUGUUAAGUCUGUUGUGAAAGCCCCGGGCUCAACCUGGGAAUGGCAAUGGAUACUGGCAGGCUAGAGUGCGGUAGAGGGUAGUGGAAUUCCCGGUGUAGCGGUGAAAUGCGUAGAGAUCGGGAGGAACACCAGUGGCGAAGGCGACUACCUGGACCAGCACUGACACUGAGGCACGAAAGCGUGGGGAGCAAACAGG
rnacentral:rRNA from 1 species